rnacentral:rRNA from 1 species
AUACGGAGGGUCCAAGCGUUAUCCGGAUUCAUUGGGUUUAAAGGGUCCGCAGGCGGGAAAAUAAGUCAGUGGUGAAAGCCUACAGCUCAACUGUAGAACUGCCAUCGAUACUGUUUUUCUUGAGUAUAGAUGAAGUGGGCGGAAUAUAUCAUGUAGCGGUGAAAUGCAUAGAUAUGAUAUAGAACACCGAUUGCGAAGGCAGCUCACUAAACUAUUUCUGACGCUCAGGGACGAAAGCGUGGGGAGCGAACAGGAGUAGAAACCCCAGUAGUCC